GCCAUGCUAGUUGUACGAGUUCAGACUCGUAGCAGAUAGCUCAGUAACACGUGGCCAAACUACCCUAUGGAUCCGGACAACCUCGGGAAACUGAGGCUAAUCCGGAAUACGACUCUCAGCCUGGAAGUGGCGAGAGUCAGAAACGCUCCGGCGCCAUAGGAUGUGGCUGCGGCCGAUUAGGUAGACGGUGGGGUAACGGCCCACCGUGCCCAUAAUCGGUACGGGUUGUGAGAGCAAGAGCCCGGAGACGGUAUCUGAGACAAGAUACCGGGCCCUACGGGGCGCAGCAGGCGCGAAACCUUUACACUGCACGAAAGUGCGAUAAGGGGACUCCAAGUGCGAGGGCAUAUAGUCCUCGCUUUUCACUACCGUAAGGAGGUAGUAGAAUAAGUGCUGGGCAAGACCGGUGCCAGCCGCCGCGGUAAUACCGGCAGCACAAGUGAUGACCGCUCUUAUUGGGCCUAAAGCGUCCGUAGCUGGCCACGCAAGUCUAUCGGGAAAUCCGCGCGCUCAACGCGCGGGCGUCCGGUGGAAACUGUGUGGCUUGGGACCGGAAGAUCCAGAGGGUACGUCUGGGGUAGGAGUGAAAUCCCGUAAUCCUGGACGGACCACCGGUGGCGAAAGCGCUCUGGAAAGACGGAUCCGACGGUGAGGGACGAAAGCUCGGGUCACGAACCGGGAUUAGAUACCCGGGUAGUCCGAGCUGUAAACGAUGUCUGCUAGAUGUGCCACAGGCUACGAGCCUGUGGUGUGUCGUAGGGAAGCCGUGAAGCAGACCGCCUGGGAAGUACGUCCGCAAGGAUGAAACUUAA
rnacentral:rRNA from 1 species